rnacentral:rRNA from 1 species
AAGACCUUGCACUUUUGGAGCGGCCGAUGUCUGAUUAGCUAGUUGGUGGGGUAAUGGCCUACCAAAGCUUCGAUCAGUAGCUGGUCUGAGAGGACGGCCAGCCACACUGGGACUGAGACACGGCCCAGACUCCUACGGGAGGCAGCAGUGGGGAAUUUUGGACAAUGGGCGCAAGCCUGAUCCAGCCAUGCCGCGUGAGUGAAGAAGGCCUUCGGGUUGUAAAGCUCUUUCAGUCGGGAAGAAAAGGUUGCGACUAAUAAUCGCAAUUCAUGACGGUACCGAAAGAAGAAGCACCGGCUAACUACGUGCCAGCAGCCGCGGUAAUACGUAGGGUGCGAGCGUUAAUCGGAAUUACUGGGCGUAAAGGGUGCGCAGGCGGUUUUGUAAGUCAGAUGUGAAAUCCCCGGGCUUAACCUGGGAACU